GAUGAACGCUAGCGGCGGGCCUAAUACAUGCAAGUCGAACGGGAUUAGGUAGCAAUAUCUAUGAGAGUGGCGCACGGGUGCGUAACACGUAUGUAACCUACCUUUAACUGGGGAAUAGCUUCGAGAAAUCGAAAUUAAUACCCCAUAACAUUUAGAAAAGGCAUCUUUUCUUUAUCAAAGCUCAGGCGGUUAGAGAUGGACAUGCGGUGCAUUAGCUUGUUGGUGAGGUAACGGCUCACCAAGGCUGCGAUGCAUAGGGGGUCUGAGAGGAUGAUCCCCCACACUGGUACUGAGACACGGACCAG
rnacentral:rRNA from 1 species